rnacentral:sRNA from 1 species
UUUUUUAAGGUGACAAAAACUUAGUUGGUUCAGAAGUAAAAAUUUAUAGCUUGGACCCAUCUACUCAGUGGUUUUCAGCAACCGUUGUAAAUGGAAACCCAGCAUCAAAAACUCUUCAAGUCAACUGUGAGGAGAUUCCAGCACUGAAAAUUGUUGAUCCGUCACUGAUUCAUGUUGAAGUUGUACACGAUAACCUUGUGACAUGUGGUAAUUCUGCAAGAAUUGGAGCUGUAAAACGCAAGUCUUCUGAGAAUAAUGGAACCCUGGUUUCCAAACAAGCAAAAUCUUGCUCUGAGGGAGGAACUAUUGCCAUGACUGGUAUAGAAGACCUUCAGGGAAAACUCUUCAGGCCUCUCCCAGUAUGUGUCCUGUGCAGUCUGUACCUACAACAGUUUUUAAGGAGAUACUGCUUGGCUGUACUGCAGCAACUCCACCUAGUAAGGACCCAAGACAGCAAAGUACUCCCCAGGCUGCCAACUCUCCACCUAACCUUGGAGCAAAAAUUCCUCAAGGAUGUCAUAAACAAAGUUUACCAGAGGAAAUUUCUUCCUGUCUAAAUACAAAGUCUGAAGCUCUGAGAACAAAACCAGAUGUCUGCAAAGCAGGGUUGCUCUCAAAGUCCUCUCAGAUUGGAACUGGAGACUUGAAAAUUCUGACUGAGCCAAAAGGCAGCUGUACUCAGCCUAAGACAAACACUGAUCAGGAAAACAGAUUGGAGUCUGUUCCACAAGCAUUGACUGGCCUUCCUAAGGAGUGCUUACCUACAAAGGCUUCUUCUAAGGCAGAAUUGGAAAUUGCCAAUCCUCCUGAACUGCAGAAGCACCUAGAACAUGCACCUUCCCCAUCGGAUGUUUCAAAUGCACCAGAAGUGAAAGCAGGUGUCAAUAGUGAUAGCCCUAAUAACUGUUCAGGAAAAAAGGUAGAACCUUCAGCUUUAGCUUGCCGAUCACAGAAUUUAAAGGAAUCUUCAGUAAA